UGGGGAAUUUUGGACAAUGGGCGAAAGCCUGAUCCAGCAAUGCCGCGUGUGUGAAGAAGGCCUUCGGGUUGUAAAGCACUUUUGUCCGGAAAGAAAUCCUUGGCUCUAAUACAGUCGGGGGAUGACGGUACCGGAAGAAUAAGCACCGGCUAACUACGUGCCAGCAGCCGCGGUAAUACGUAGGGUGCAAGCGUUAAUCGGAAUUACUGGGCGUAAAGCGUGCGCAGGCGGUUUGCUAAGACCGAUGUGAAAUCCCCGGGCUCAACCUGGGAACUGCAUUGGUGACUGGCAGGCUAGAGUAUGGCAGAGGGGGGUAGAAUUCCACGUGUAGCAGUGAAAUGCGUAGAGAUGUGGAGGAAUACCGAUGGCGAAGGCAGCCCCCUGGGCCAAUACUGACGCUCAUGCACGAAAGCGUGGGGAGCAAACAGGAUUAGAUACCCUGGUAGUCCACGCCCUAAACGAUGUCAACUAGUUGUUGGGGAUUCAUUUCCUUAGUAACGUAGCUAACGCGUGAAGUUGACCGCCUGGGGAGUACGGUCGCAAGAUUAAACUU
rnacentral:rRNA from 1 species